rnacentral:rRNA from 1 species
CAUGUAGGCGGAUAUGCAAGCUUGGUGUGAAAGGCAGGGGCUUAACUCCUGGACUGCGUUGAGAACUGCAUAACUAGAGUAACUGAGGGGCAACCGGAAUUCCAGGUGUAGGGGUGAAAUCUGUAGAUAUCUGGAAGAACACCAAUGGCGAAGGCAGGUUACCAGCAGAUUACUGACGCUGAGGUGCGAAGGUGCGGGGGGCAAACA